rnacentral:rRNA from 1 species
AUGGGGUGCAACAGCGAGGCGGUGGCCGGAGAGGGGAGCGGGAGCGGCGACCUUCGGAGGAGGAGAGGGGGCCGGGACGGGGCGGGCGCCUCGUCCUCCUCCUCCUUCGCCGAGGGGACGAGGGAGUUCGUGCUGAGCUCCAUGGACGAGCGGUUCUCCGGAUCGGUCGACGCCGAUGGGUUCCCCUCCUCGCGUCGAGAAGGAUUCGGGCAUAGUAAAUCCACAACUGCAACUUCUAGUCGUUUUAGAGGGCAAGAUCACGCUUUUGUAAGAUCAUACUCCGAUAGGUUGCUUAAAUGUGACCUCACGUUGGAUAUGCUAUCAGAAAAUGAGAAGAUGAAGAUAAUUGAGAAAUUGGUAAAGAUCCAGAAAGAUGGUACACUGGAGGUAGAUGUGACCCGUAGUGCCCUUGUUGCAUCAGAACUCUCAGAGAUUGAUGCUUUUGGUUCUGUGCCACGUGAUGUUGAAGAAGUUAAAUCUGGAUUUAGCAAGUCUGUCCCGAAGUUGAAGAUUGCUAUACUUGUCGUUGGAACACGAGGGGAUGUUCAGCCGUUUAUAGCAUUAGCUAAAAGACUUCAGGAAUUUGGACACCAUGUUAGAUUGGCAUCUCAUGUCAACUUCCGUACUUUUGUGAAGUCAGCUGGUAUUGAUUUCUACCCAUUGGGUGGUGAUCCACGAAUUAUGGCCCAGUACAUGACAAAAAACAAAGGGUUUUUAAUGGCCGCGCCCACAGAGAUUUCUGUUCAAAGAAAGCAGGUGAAGGAAAUCAUUUUCUCUCUUCUACCUGCAUGCACAGAACCUGAUUUGGAUACUGGAAUACCUUUCAGAGCUCAGGCAAUAAUAGCAAAUCCUCCUGCUUUAGGACAUCUUCAUAUUGCCGAGGCACUUGGGGUACCUCUGCACAUCUUCUUUACUUUUCCAUGGACGCCAACUAAUGAGUUCCCUCAUCCAUUGGCUCGAACGCCUCAGAGUGCAACCUACAGGCUAUCCUAUCUUAUCGUGGAUUUAAUAAUUUGGUGGGGUACAAGAGGAUUCAUAAAUGAUUUCAGAAAGAAGUUAAACCUGGCCCCUAUUGCUUACUUCAGCACGUACCAUGGAUCCAUAUCACACUUACCUACAGGAUACAUGUGGAGUCCUCACCUUAUGCCGAAGCCAAAUGAUUGGGGUUCUCUUGUGGAUGUCGUGGGUUAUUGCUUCUUAAAUCUUGGCACAAAGUAUCAACCGCCGCCAGAGCUCUCACAGUGGCUUCAACAAGGUUCCAAACCGAUAUACAUCGGUUUUGGUAGCAUGCCUCUUGAUGAUGAAAAAAAGGUCACUGCUAUCAUUUUGGAUGCACUAAGAGAAAUGGGACAGAGAGGAAUCAUUAGCCGUGGUUGGGGAGAUCUUGGAAGCUUUUCAGAAGUUCCAGCUGACGUCUUCAUUUUGGAGGAUUGUCCUCAUGACUGGUUGUUUCCUCGCUGUACGGCAGUAGUGCAUCAUGGUGGAGCAGGUACCACAGCUGCAGGCCUGAUAGCUGGGUGUCCAACCACUGUAGUGCCUUUUUUUGGCGAUCAGUUCUUCUGGGGUGAGAUAGUUCAUGCGCGUGGUGUGGGUCCUGCACCUAUCCGUGUAACAGAGCUUACUACCGAGGCACUUUCAAAUGCAAUCAGAUUUAUGCUUGAUCCUGAGGUAAAAUCACGAUCAUUGGAACUGGCAAUAGCAAUAGGGAAUGAAGACGGUGUUGCAGCCGCCGUAGACUCGUUUCACCGACACCUGCCUUCAGAACUCCCACUUACUCCACCGCCCGCGCCUGCAGAAGAAGAGCGGCUAGACCUGCUUCAGUUGCUUUCUCGAUAUCUUGAGAAGUGUUGUCUCCCGUUCAAUUCUUAG